GAUGAACGCUAGCGGCAGGCCUAAUACAUGCAAGUCGAGGGGUAGUGGUUGCUUGCAGCCAUGAGACCGGCGCACGGGUGCGUAACGCGUAUGCAACCUACCUUCAUCUGGGGGAUAGCCCGGAGAAAUCCGGAUUAAUACCGCAUAAAAUCACAGUACGGCAUCGUACAAUGAUCAAACAUUUAUGGGAUGGAGAUGGGCAUGCGUGUCAUUAGUUAGUUGGCGGGGUAACGGCCCACCAAGACCGCGAUGACUAGGGGAUCUGAGAGGAUGACCCCCCAAACUGGGACUGAGACACGGACCAGACUCCGACGGGAGGCAGCAGUAAGGAAUAUUGGUCAAUGGGCGCAAGCCUGAACCAGCCAUGCCGCGUGCAGGAAGACGGCCCUCUGGGUUGUAAACUGCUUUUAUUCGGGAAUAAACCUGCUUACGUGUAAGUAGCUGAAUGUACCGAAAGAAUAAGGAUCGGCUAACUCCGUGCUAGCAGCCGCCGUAAAAC
rnacentral:rRNA from 1 species